UGGAGUGGGUGCAUGAUCGCUGGUCCGCCCUGAGCGGAACAGAGGAAAGUCCGAACUUCACAGGGCAGGGUGGUUCGUAACGCGAACUCCGGGUGACCGGGGGAAAGUGCCACAGAAAACAUACCGCCCCGUUUGUCGGGGUAAGGGUGAAAAGGCGAGGUAAGAGCUCACCGCUUUCAUGGUGACAUGGAAGGCAGGGUAAACCCCACCAGAAGCAAGAUCAAAUAGGGAAACGUUUGAGGGCUGCCCGUCCGAUGUUUCCGGGUAGAUUGCUGGAGGUGCCGGG
rnacentral:RNase_P_RNA from 1 species